GCGCUGCUUUUCUAAGAUGGCUGCCGCUACCGGUGCGGUGGCAGCCUCGGCCGCCUCGGGUCAGGCGGAAGGUAAAAAAAUCACCGAUCUGCGGGUCAUCGAUCUCAAAUCCGAGCUGAAGCGGCGGAACUUAGACAUCACCGGAGUCAAGACCGUGCUCAUCUCCCGACUCAAGCAGGCUAUUGAAGAGGAAGGAGGCGAUCCAGAUAAUAUUGAAUUAACUGUUUCAACUGAUACUCCAAACAAGAAACCAACUAAAGGCAAAGGUAAAAAACAUGAAGCAGAUGAGUUGAGUGGAGAUGCUUCUGUGGAAGAUGAUGCUUUUAUCAAGGUGUAAAUUACCAAAAACGUUUGGUGGAUAGCCCACGCUACUUUGCCUCUAGUUGUACCAAAUUUUUUUACCAUUAAAAGGACUGUGAAUUGGAGAAUCAAGAGGCACAUGAGCAAGAUGGAAAUGAUGAACUAAAGGACUCUGAAGAAUUUGGUGAAAAUGAAGAAGAAAAUGUGCAUUCCAAGGAGUUACUCUCUGCAGAAGAAAACAAGAGAGCUCA
rnacentral:sRNA from 1 species